rnacentral:rRNA from 1 species
UGGGGAAUUUUGGACAAUGGGCGAAAGCCUGAUCCAGCAAUGCCGCGUGUGUGAAGAAGGCCUUCGGGUUGUAAAGCACUUUUGUCCGGAAAGAAAACGCCGUGGUUAAUACCCGUGGCGGAUGACGGUACCGGAAGAAUAAGCACCGGCUAACUACGUGCCAGCAGCCGCGGUAAUACGUAGGGUGCAAGCGUUAAUCGGAAUUACUGGGCGUAAAGCGUGCGCAGGCGGUCCGCUAAGACAGAUGUGAAAUCCCCGGGCUUAACCUGGGAACUGCAUUUGUGACUGGCGGGCUAGAGUAUGGCAGAGGGGGGUAGAAUUCCACGUGUAGCAGUGAAAUGCGUAGAGAUGUGGAGGAAUACCGAUGGCGAAGGCAGCCCCCUGGGCCAAUACUGACGCUCACGCACGAAAGCGUGGGGAGCAAACAGG